rnacentral:rRNA from 1 species
GUGUCAGCAGCCGCGGUAAUACGGAGGGUGCAAGCGUUGUCCGGAAUCACUGGGUGUAAAGGGUGUGUAGGCGGGGCUGUAAGUCAGAGGUGAAAUCCCACGGCUCAACCGUGGAACUGCCUUUGAUACUGCAGCUCUUGAGUCCUGGAGAGGCCGCCGGAAUUCGUGGUGUAGCGGUGAAAUGCGUAGAUAUCACGAGGAACACCAGAGGCGUAGGCGGGUGGCUGGACAGGUACUGACACUGAGGCACGAAAGCGUGGGGAGCAAACAGGAUUAGAUACCCUGGUAGUCCACGCCGUAAACGAUGGAUGCUCGGUGUUGCCCCGCCUUUAGGGGCAGUGCCUAAGCUAACGCGUUAAGCAUCCCACCUGGGGAGUACGCUCGCAAGAGUGAAACUUAAAGGAAUUGACGGGG